AUCAAUAUGUUGUCACACUCCUGCCUAGUGACCAAAAAGAUAUAAAAACUAUUUGCUUUAGAAACUUAGGGUCCUUCUCUUCUCAGAGAGAAACCCCAGCGCGUUGGAAUAAAAUCCUUUUGCUUUUGCAUCGAACUUUCGUCCUGUGAGUGACUUUAUAGGCCUCACCACUGGCUGACCGGUGAUCACACCCAGGGUUAUGAUGGUGUUGGGUGGCCCUAGGACAGCUCCAUCUUUGCCAUUUCUGGAAAUGAAUCCUUCCUAUCAGCCACACAAGCCUAGAGGACUGCCAUGGGAUGCAUGACAUCAUUUCCAUCAAUGAUGAGCCAAAAGUACACUGGAGUCCCAUGACGUUAAAAUGGAGCUGAAACACUCCUAUUCAGGAAAAGGAGAAUCUGGGUGUGGUGGUAACACAACAAAUCCAGCACUUGGAAAAGAGAAGCAGGAACUCAAAGUCACCCUUAGAUAUAGCAUGUGUGAGGCCGGCUGGACGCAGGAACUAUGUGUGAGGCCAGCUGGACACAGGAAAGCUUGUCUGAAGCCCCAUCCCUCAAAAACCCCACAGCAGAGCAUCUGCCUAACAUGUAUAGACUUUGGUUCCAUCUCUACCACUAGGAAAAAGAUUUCCAUCGUCUGGUGUCCCAGUCAUCUUUAACUGUCAACUGGACAGGGCCAAGAGUUUAGGAAGGAGUCUCAACAGAAGAAUUGCCCAGAAGAGAGUGGCCUGUGGGCAUACCUGGCAGUGAUUGCCUUAACUGAUGGAGGAGGACCCAGCCUGCUGUAGGCAGCACAAUUCUAUGGACUUGUGGUCCUGGUGUGUAUGAGAAAGCCAGCUAUGCCUCAACCUGCAAGACAUCAAGGAAGUAGCUUCUCCAUGGUUUCUGCUUGAGUCCCUGCCCUUGCUUCCUAUAGUGACAGACUAUACCCUAAAAGCUGAACUAAACAUCUCCUCACUUACAAUGUUGCUGGCCAUGGUAUCUGUUAUAGCAGAAGGAUGACCCUGUAGUAAUGUCACAACCAUCACAAAGUCACAAGACAACAACUCCUUAUGAGUGUGUUUUUUUGGUGAUGAUAAGCAAACCUCCUACACUGUCAGUCAAGUAAAAGCACAUAUAUGAUUUGGCACGGCCAAUAAUACUUGACCAUGGUAAUAACUGGUGUUCCUGGUUGAUCUAGUAGC
rnacentral:lncRNA from 1 species